UACGGAGGGGGCUAGCGUUGUUCGGAAUUACUGGGCGUAAAGCGCGCGUAGGCGGCUUUGUAAGUUAGAGGUGAAAGCCCGGGGCUCAACUCCGGAACUGCCUUUAAGACUGCAUCGCUUGAAUUGUGGAGAGGUAAGUGGAAUUCCGAGUGUAGAGGUGAAAUUCGUAGAUAUUCGGAAGAACACCAGUGGCGAAGGCGACUUACUGGACACAUAUUGACGCUGAGGUGCGAAAGCGUGGGGAGCAAACAGG
rnacentral:rRNA from 1 species